CCCUUAGAUGAUCUGGGCUGCACGCGCGCUACACUGAUUGUGCCACACUGACUAUUAUUCCUAGGGCGAAAAGCACUGGGUAAACAGUAAACACAUAUCGUACUUUGGAAUAAAUUGUUGUAAUUCGUGAUUUUGAACGAGGAAUUCCUAGUAAGUAACAGUCAUCAACUGUUGUUGAUUACGUCCCUGCCCUUUGUACACACCGCCCGUCGCUACUACUGAUUGGGUGUUCAAGCGAGAUUCUUUGAUUUUAAGAUGAAUAAUUCGAACUUGUUUAGAUUUAAAGAAGAGUAUCAAGCUUCUGCAUUUAGAGGAAGUAAAAGUCGUAACA
rnacentral:rRNA from 1 species